rnacentral:rRNA from 1 species
UACGUAGGGGGCGAGCGUUGUCCGGAUUUAUUGGGCGUAAAGAGCUCGUAGGCGGUUUGGUAAGUCGGGUGUGAAAUCUCCACGCUCAACGUGGAGGGGCCACUCGAUACUGCCAUGACUCGAGUCCGGUAGAGGAGUGUGGAAUUCCCGGUGUAGCGGUGAAAUGCGUAGAGAUCGGGAGGAACACCAGUGGCGAAGGCGGCUACCUGGACCAGCACUGGACACUGAGGCACGAAAGCGUGGGGAGCCAAACAGG